rnacentral:rRNA from 1 species
UACGGAGGGAGCUAGCGUUGUUCGGAAUUACUGGGCGUAAAGCGCACGUAGGCGGCUACUCAAGUCAGAGGUGAAAGCCCGGGGCUCAACCCCGGAACUGCCUUUGAAACUAGGUAGCUAGAAUCUUGGAGAGGUCAGUGGAAUUCCGAGUGUAGAGGUGAAAUUCGUAGAUAUUCGGAAGAACACCAGUGGCGAAGGCGACUGACUGGACAAGCAUUGACGCUGAGGUGCGAAAGCGUGGGGAGCAAACAGG